UACGUAGGUGGCAAGCGUUGUCCGGAUUUAUUGGGCGUAAAGCGAGCGCAGGCGGUUUCUUAAGUCUGAUGUGAAAGCCCCCGGCUCAACCGGGGAGGGUCAUUGGAAACUGGGAGACUUGAGUGCAGAAGAGGAGAGUGGAAUUCCAUGUGUAGCGGUGAAAUGCGUAGAUAUAUGGAGGAACACCAGUGGCGAAGGCGGCUCUCNUGGUCUGUAACUGACGCUGAGGCUCGAAAGCGUGGGGAGCAAACAGGAUUAGA
rnacentral:rRNA from 1 species